AUGGGGAGGCGUGGGAAGCUGGAGGUCAAGAGGAUCGACGACGACGGUUCGCGGCUGGUGACCUUCUGCAAGCGGCGCGGCACGCUGCUGAAGAAGGCGCGCGAGCUCGCCGUGCUCUGCGACGAAGAUGCAAGCCUCGGCCUCGUCGUCUUCUCCAGCACCGGCAACCUCGCCGGUGACUACUGCAGCCCGAAUACAAGGUACGUGGCUAGGUUGAUCUGUCCCGUCCUGUCCUUAAUGCAUGCAAGAGCUCCUGUGACAUAUAUAUUUCCCUUGUCAUUUGUUAAGCUGGAGUGA
rnacentral:rRNA from 1 species